rnacentral:rRNA from 1 species
GAGUUUGAUCCUGGCUCAGAACGAACGCUGGCGGCGUGCCUAACACAUGCAAGUCGAGCGGGAAAGUUCCCUUCGGGGAGCGAGUACAGCGGCGAACGGGUGAGUACAACGUAGGUAACCUACCCCCGAGACUGGGAUAACCUGUCGAAAGACGGGCUAAUACCGGAUAAGACCACGAGGGCUGCGGCCCUCGGGGUAAAAGGUGGCCUCUGCUUGCAAGCUACUACUCGAGGAUGGGCCUGCGCGCCAUUAGCUAGUUGGUGGGGUAAAGGCCCACUAAGGCGAAGAUGGCUAGCUGGUCUGAGAGGAUGGCCAGCCACACUGGGACUGAGACACGGCCCAGACUCCUACGGGAGGCAGCAGUGGGGAAUAUUGCGCAAUGGGCGAAAGCCUGACGCAGCGACGCCGCGUGGGUGAUGAAGGCCUUCGGGUCGUAAAGCCCUGUCGGGAGGGAAGAAAUCUCAUCGGUCUAAUAUGCCGGUGACUUGACGGUACCUCCUAAGGAAGCACCGGCUAACUCCGUGCCAGCAGCCGCGGUAAUACGGAGGGUGCAAGCGUUGUUCGGAAUCACUGGGCGUAAAGCGCGUGUAGGCGGCCACCUAAGUCUGGUGUGAAAGCCCUGGGCUUAACCCAGGAAGUGCACUGGAUACUGGGUGGCUGGAGUACCGGAGAGGAGGGUGGAAUUCCUGGUGUAGCGGUGAAAUGCGUAGAUAUCAGGAGGAACACCGGUGGCGAAGGCGUCCCUCUGGCCGGAUACUGACGCUGAGACGCGAAAGCGUGGGGAGCAAACAGGAUUAGAU